UCCAUCAGUUUUAUUUUAUUUGUAUCAUCAAAGAUGACUAAAAACAUGGUUCUUACAAUUUUAAUGGUGUUCUUUGUUAUUGGAAUGGUGAUGGAGAAGACGCAAGGACGUAUAUGUCAUGUCUAUCUUGAAGGAGCAACUCCUGGUUGUGAUACUUCAGACUGUAACCUAGAUUGUCGUGACAAGUAUAAAGGAACAGGAACUUGUGAACCAGCAGGCUCCAAAAGAGAAUACCAGACCUGCUACUGCAGUUUUAAUUGUUAAAAUCGAUUUUUCCUUUAUUAUCUAUAAACAAUCACCAAAUAUAAUUAAAAAAAAUAAUGGGUUGAAGAAAAAAUAUGUUGCGAUCUUUAUUGAAUAUUGCGAUCUUUUCUAAUUUUGAUGUGAAUGUUUCAUUUCAGAAGUUGUGGUUCGAUUUUAAAUUUCAGCA